AACGAACGCUGGCGGCGUGCCUAACACAUGCAAGUCGAACGGAAUUUGAGAGCUUGCUCUUAAAUUUAGUGGCGCACGGGUGAGUAACGCGUAGAUAAUCUGCCUGACGAUCUGGGAUAACACUUCGAAAGAGGUGCUAAUACCGGAUAAGCCCACGGAGUCUUUGGAUUCUGCGGGAAAAGGGGGGGACCUUCGGGCCUUCUGUCGUCAGAUGAGUCUGCGUACCAUUAGCUAGUUGGUAGGGUAAUGGCCUACCAAGGCGACGAUGGUUAGCUGGUCUGAGAGGAUGAUCAGCCACACUGGAACUGAGACACGGUCCAGACUCCUACGGGAGGCAGCAGUGGGGUAUUUUGCGCAAUGGGCGAAAGCCUGACGCAGCAACGCCGCGUGAGUGAUGAAGGCUUUCGGGUCGUAAAGCUCUGUCGAGGGGAAAGAAGUGUACUUUGGCUAAUAUCCAUUGUACUUGACGGUACCCCUAAAGGAAGCACCGGCUAACUCCGUGCCAGCAGCCGCAGUAAUAC
rnacentral:rRNA from 1 species